rnacentral:rRNA from 1 species
CAGCAGCCGCGGGAAUACGAAGGGGGCUAGCGUUGUUCGGAUUUACUGGGCGUAAAGGGCGCGCAGGCGGCUGUGUAAGUCUGUCUAGAAAGUGCGGGGCUAAACCCCGUGAGAGGAUGGAAACUGGACAGCUGAGAGUGUCGGAGAGGAAAGCGGAAUUCCUAGUGUAGCGGUGAAAUGCGUAGAUAUUAGGAGGAACACCGGUGGCGAAAGCGGCUUUCUGGACGACAACUGACGCUGAGGCGCGAAAGCCAGGGGAGCAAACGGGAUUAGAUACCCCUGUAGUCCCUGUCUCUUAUAC